UACGAAGGGGGCUAGCGUUGCUCGGAAUUACUGGGCGUAAAGGGAGCGUAGGCGGACAUUUAAGUCAGAGGUGAAAUCCCCGGAGCUUAACUUCGGAACUGCCUUUGAUACUGGGUGUCUUGAGUGUGAGAGAGGUAUGUGGAACUCCGAGUGUAGAGGUGAAAUUCGUAGAUAUUCGGAAGAACACCAGUGGCGAAGGCGACAUACUGGCUCAUUACUGACGCUGAGGCUCGAAAGCGUGGGGAGCAAACAGG
rnacentral:rRNA from 1 species